CACAUGCAAGUCGAGCGGUAGCACAGAGAGCUUGCUCUCGGGUGACGAGCGGCGGACGGGUGAGUAAUGUCUGGGAAACUGCCUGAUGGAGGGGGAUAACUACUGGAAACGGUAGCUAAUACCGCAUAACGUCGCAAGACCAAAGUGGGGGACCUUCGGGCCUCAUGCCAUCAGAUGUGCCCAGAUGGGAUUAGCUAGUAGGUGGGGUAACGGCUCACCUAGGCGACGAUCCCUAGCUGGUCUGAGAGGAUGACCAGCCACACUGGAACUGAGACACGGUCCAGACUCCUACGGGAGGCAGCAGUGGGGAAUAUUGCACAAUGGGCGCAAGCCUGAUGCAGCCAUGCCGCGUGUGUGAAGAAGGCCUUCGGGUUGUAAAGCACUUUCAGCGGGGAGGAAGGCGGUGAGGUUAAUAACCUCACCGAUUGACGUUACCCGCAGAAGAAGCACCGGCUAACUCCGUGCCAGCAGCCGCGGUAAUACGGAGGGUGCAAGCGUUAAUCGGAAUUACUGGGCGUAAAGCGCACGCAGGCGGUCUGUCAAGUCGGAUGUGAAAUCCCCGGGCUCAACCUGGGAACUGCAUUCGAAACUGGCAGGCUAGAGUCUUGUAGAGGGGGGUAGAAUUCCAGGUGUAGCGGUGAAAUGCGUAGAGAUCUGGAGGAAUACCGGUGGCGAAGGCGGCCCCCUGGACAAAGACUGACGCUCAGGUGCGAAAGCGUGGGGAGCAAACAGGAUUAGAUACCCUGGUAGUCCACGCUGUAAACGAUGUCGAUUUGGAGGUUGUGCCCUUGAGGCGUGGCUUCCGGAGCUAACGCGUUAAAUCGACCGCCUGGGGAGUACGGCCGCAAGGUUAAAACUCAAAUGAAUUGACGGGGGCCCGCACAAGCGGUGGAGCAUGUGGUUUAAUUCGAUGCAACGCGAAGAACCUUACCUGGUCUUGACAUCCACAGAACUUUCCAGAGAUGGAUUGGUGCCUUCGGGAACUGUGAGACAGGUGCUGCAUGGCUGUCGUCAGCUCGUGUUGUGAAAUGUUGGGUUAAGUCCCGCAACGAGCGCAACCCUUAUCCUUUGUUGCCAGCGGUUAGGCCGGGAACUCAAAGGAGACUGCCAGUGAUAAACUGGAGGAAGGUGGGGAUGACGUCAAGUCAUCAUGGCCCUUACGACCAGGGCUACACACGUGCUACAAUGGCAUAUACAAAGAGAAGCGACCUCGCGAGAGCAAGCGGACCUCAUAAAGUAUGUCGUAGUCCGGAUUGGAGUCUGCAACUCGACUCCAUGAAGUCGGAAUCGCUAGUAAUCGUAGAUCAGAAUGCUACGGUGAAUACGUUCCCGGGCCUUGUACACACCGCCCGUCACACCAUGGGAGUGGGUUGCAAAAGAAGUAGGUAGCUUAACCUUCGGGAGGGCGCUUACCAC
rnacentral:rRNA from 1 species